UUCGACACACUAUCAUUAACUGAAUCCAUAGGUUAAUGAGGCGAACCGGGGGAACUGAAACAUCUAAGUACCCCGAGGAAAAGAAAUCAACCGAGAUUCCCCCAGUAGCGGCGAGCGAACGGGGAGCAGCCCAGAGCCUGAAUCAGUGUGUGUGUUAGUGGAAGCGUCUGGAAAGGCGCGCGAUACAGGGUGACAGCCCCGUACACAAAAAUGCACAUGCUGUGAGCUCGAUGAGUAGGGCGGGACACGUGGUAUCCUGUCUGAAUAUGGGGGGACCAUCCUCCAAGGCUAAAUACUCCUGACUGACCGAUAGUGAACCAGUACCGUGAGGGAAAGGCGAAAAGAACCCCGGCGAGGGGAGUGAAAAAGAACCUGAAACCGUGUACGUACAAGCAGUGGGAGCACGCUUAGGCGUGUGACUGCGUACCUUUUGUAUAAUGGGUCAGCGACUUAUAUUCUGUAGCAAGGUUAACCGAAUAGGGGAGCCGAAGGGAAACCGAGUCUUAACUGGGCGUUAAGUUGCAGGGUAUAGACCCGAAACCCGGUGAUCUAGCCAUGGGCAGGUUGAAGGUUGGGUAACACUAACUGGAGGACCGAACCGACUAAUGUUGAAAAAUUAGCGGAUGACUUGUGGCUGGGGGUGAAAGGCCAAUCAAACCGGGAGAUAGCUGGUUCUCCCCGAAAGCUAUUUAGGUAGCGCCUCGUGAAUUCAUCUCCGGGGGUAGAGCACUGUUUCGGCAAGGGGGUCAUCCCGACUUACCAACCCGAUGCAAACUGCGAAUACCGGAGAAUGUUAUCACGGGAGACACACGGCGGGUGCUAACGUCCGUCGUGAAGAGGGAAACAACCCAGACCGCCAGCUAAGGUCCCAAAGUCAUGGUUAAGUGGGAAACGAUGUGGGAAGGCCCAGACAGCCAGGAUGUUGGCUUAGAAGCAGCCAUCAUUUAAAGAAAGCGUAAUAGCUCACUGGUCGAGUCGGCCUGCGCGGAAGAUGUAACGGGGCUAAACCAUGCACCGAAGCUGCGGCAGCGACGCUUAUGCGUUGUUGGGUAGGGGAGCGUUCUGUAAGCCUGCGAAGGUGUGCUGUGAGGCAUGCUGGAGGUAUCAGAAGUGCGAAUGCUGACAUAAGUAACGAUAAAGCGGGUGAAAAGCCCGCUCGCCGGAAGACCAAGGGUUCCUGUCCAACGUUAAUCGGGGCAGGGUGAGUCGACCCCUAAGGCGAGGCCGAAAGGCGUAGUCGAUGGGAAACAGGUUAAUAUUCCUGUACUUGGUGUUACUGCGAAGGGGGGACGGAGAAGGCUAUGUUGGCCGGGCGACGGUUGUCCCGGUUUAAGCGUGUAGGCUGGUUUUCCAGGCAAAUCCGGAAAAUCAAGGCUGAGGCGUGAUGACGAGGCACUACGGUGCUGAAGCAACAAAUGCCCUGCUUCCAGGAAAAGCCUCUAAGCAUCAGGUAACAUCAAAUCGUACCCCAAACCGACACAGGUGGUCAGGUAGAGAAUACCAAGGCGCUUGAGAGAACUCGGGUGAAGGAACUAGGCAAAAUGGUGCCGUAACUUCGGGAGAAGGCACGCUGAUAUGUAGGUGAAGUCCCUCGCGGAUGGAGCUGAAAUCAGUCGAAGAUACCAGCUGGCUGCAACUGUUUAUUAAAAACACAGCACUGUGCAAACACGAAAGUGGACGUAUACGGUGUGACGCCUGCCCGGUGCCGGAAGGUUAAUUGAUGGGGUCAGCGCAAGCGAAGCUCUUGAUCGAAGCCCCGGUAAACGGCGGCCGUAACUAUAACGGUCCUAAGGUAGCGAAAUUCCUUGUCGGGUAAGUUCCGACCUGCACGAAUGGCGUAAUGAUGGCCAGGCUGUCUCCACCCGAGACUCAGUGAAAUUGAACUCGCUGUGAAGAUGCAGUGUACCCGCGGCAAGACGGAAAGACCCCGUGAACCUUUACUAUAGCUUGACACUGAACAUUGAGCCUUGAUGUGUAGGAUAGGUGGGAGGCUUUGAAGUGUGG
rnacentral:rRNA from 1 species